UUAGAAAUGGAGCUCAAAACAGUUAAACAGGUGUUAAUCUUACUUUAUUUGAAACAAUUUUGAAUAAUAGAUGAGAAGCUAGAUGGAUGCUUCAAAUUUGUCGUGUUGAUCUUUCAGUUCUUUUAAUGCUGAUCUGGAAUGUACAGAGUAUAGUUUUGAUCGAAUAUCCAUAAAUGACCGAAGGCGUAUCCUGUCCCUGGUCUAGUUCAGGUUAUAGAAGACGCUCUUCUAACUUAUUUGAGAGUGAAUUCUUAACUUAGAGAUCAAUCCAACUAAUUUUUGAAUCGCUAAUGCAGUUUAGGUUGUGAUGAGAUUAGCAUCCAAUAGUCCUCCAGGCUCUGGAA